AUCUAGCUGACGAGUCCGAAAUGGGACGAAACGCGCGUCCUGGAU
rnacentral:hammerhead_ribozyme from 1 species